GAUCAUGGCUCAGGAUGAACGCCAGCUACAGGCCUAACACAUGCAAGUCGAGGGGCAGCAUGGUCUUAGCUUGCUAAGGUCCGAUGGCGACCGGCGCACGGGUGAGUAACACGUAUCCAACCUGCCGUCUACUCGUUGGACAGCCUUCUGAAAGGAAGAUUAAAUACAAGAUGGCAUCAUGAGUCCGCAUGUUCACAUGAUUAAAGGUAUUCCGGUAGACCGAUGGGG
rnacentral:rRNA from 1 species